UCUAUCAGGUCUGUAAGUAUAUAUACAUGUGCUUUUCUACUUUUGUGUUUGCGUAUACACAUAUAUACAUACAUACACACACACACACACACAUACACACACACACACACACACACACACACACACACACACACACACACACACACAAUGACUCUGCCAAGAAGAUAUCAUCCUAGCUUGUCAAUGUAUAAAGGAAAAUGAUAUCUCAAGACAUUACAUAU
rnacentral:lncRNA from 1 species